AACGAACGCUGGCGGCGCGUCUUAACCAUGCAAGUCGAGCGGCAGGCAGCAAUGCCGAGAGCGGCGGACUGGUGAGUAACACGUGGAUAACGUACCCCGAUGUCCGGGACAGCCUGUAGAAAUAGAGGGUAAUACCGGAUAGAUCACUGUUUACGUGAGGUAGACAGCGGGAAAGGAGCUUCGGCUCCGCGACGGGAUCGGUCUGCGGCCCAGCAGCUGGACGGCGGGGUAAAGGCCCGCCCGGGCGGGGACGGGUAUCCGGCCUGAGAGGGCGGACGGACGCAUUGGGACUGAGAUACGGCCCAGACGACUACGGGAGGCAGCAGGUAAGAAUAGGACGCAAUGGGGGGAACCAUGACGGAGCGACGGCGCGUGAACGGAGGAGGCGGGAAGGUUGGAAAGUUGUUUUCUGUGCGAGGAAUAAGUUUCGGAGGAAAUGCCGGGACGGUGACGGUAGGGAAAGAAUAAGCACCGGCUAAUUACGUG
rnacentral:rRNA from 1 species